UGGGGAAUUUUGGACAAUGGGGGAAACCCUGACCCAGCAACGCCGCGUGAGGGAAGAAGGUCUUCGGAUCGUAAACCUCUGUCCUUGGUGAAGAGAAAGAGACGGUAGCCAAGGAGGAAGCCCCGGCUAACUACGUGCCAGCAGCCGCGGUAAUACGUAGGGGGCAAGCGUUGUCCGGAAUGAUUGGGCGUAAAGGGCGCGUAGGCGGCCUGUUAAGUCUGGAGUGAAAGUCCUGCUUUCAAGGUGGGAAUUGCUUUGGAAACUGGCGGGCUGGAGUGCAGGAGAGGUUAGCGGAAUUCCCGGUGUAGCGGUGAAAUGCGUAGAGAUCGGGAGGAACACCAGUGGCGAAGGCGGCUAACUGGACUGUAACUGACGCUGAGGCGCGAAAGUGUGGGGAGCAAACA
rnacentral:rRNA from 1 species